GCGUUUGUGGUGUAACGGUAGCACACUCGGCGUGUAUUCCAGAGGUCCAGGUUCGAGUCCCGGCGAAGGCA
rnacentral:tRNA from 1 species